rnacentral:rRNA from 1 species
GUAAGGAAUAUUGGUCAAUGGGCGCAAGCCUGAACCAGCCAUGCCGCGUGCAGGAAGACGGCCCUACGGGUUGUAAACUGCUUUUGUACCGGAAUAAACCCUUUUACGUGUAAGAGGCUGAAUGUACGGUAAGAAUAAGGAUCGGCUAACUCCGUGCCAGCAGCCGCGGUAAUACGGAGGAUCCAAGCGUUAUCCGGAUUUAUUGGGUUUAAAGGGUGCGUAGGUGGCUUUUUAAGUCAGGGGUGAAAGACGGUAGCUUAACUAUCGCAGUGCCUUUGAUACUGAAGAGCUUGAAUGAACUAGAGGUAGGCGGAAUGUGACAAGUAGCGGUGAAAUGCAUAGAUAUGUCACAGAACACCAAUUGCGAAGGCAGCUUACUAAAGUGGCAUUGACGCUGAGGCACGAAAGCGUGGGGAUCAAACAGG